ensembl:processed_transcript
GACUCCAGAGUAGUGCUAACUGGAAGUAGAGUGGGCUGGAAAUCGUAAAGAGAGGCGACAAGACUGACUCCAGAAGCACAGGUCCGGGAAUAGACAGACCUCAGAGACUCGCAGUCUAAAGCAGAUUGCCCCGUCGUGAAGAAACCCCUUCGGAAGACCUGAAGCAAUUCCGCCGAGAGCAGAAAAUGGCUCAUGACCAGUCUCUGCUGGUUGUGCAGCAGGCCCUGAAGAAGUGCUUCCCUGUGGUGGAGGAACAGCAGGACCUGUGGCAGAGCACCCUGCAGGACUGCUCGCCCCUCCUGUCCUCUCUCAGUAACCUGGCUGAGCAGCUGCAAGCUGCACAGAGUCUGCGGUUUGAGGAUGUGCCAGCCCUUCGUCCCUUUCCAGACUUACAGGAGCGGUUGAGGUGCAAGCAGCUGGAGGCUGGUGACGUUGUCCUGGACAAGCUAGCUGAGAGGCUGUAAGAGGCUCUGUGUCCCUCUUUGAUGCACAGAUCUUAACGCCGCAUGGCAUCCCAGCCUCAGUCAGGGGGUCCUACGGAAAUCAACAAAAGCAAGUCAGAUGUAAUCAUGCUGGAGCUAAGUUGAAUGUCCGUGAGUUUGAGGCCAACCUAGACUACAUUGUAAGGUCAUGCAUGUCUUUAAAAGAAAAAAAAAAUCAGGCCAGGUGUUUAGUCUCAGCAUUAAGGAGGCAGAGACAGGCAGAUCUCUGAGUUCAAGGCCAGUCUGGUCUACAUAGAGAGUUCUAAGGUAACCAGGGCUACACAGAGAAACCCAGACUCAAAAUAAAUAAGUAAAUAAAUAAAAAUAACUCCAAACCAACUAAAUGGAAGAAAUUACAAAGGCAGAAAAGCAUAAGAGUGGGGAAGAGUGCGGUCCUCUUCUGUGGCCGUCCUUGGUAUACUGUAGUUCAGUGAGAGCCAGAAUGAAGGACUGUAUGUCUGGUACCUUGUACACCUCUGGCUUAUCAUGCAUUUGGAAGCAAGAAAAGGGAAAAUCAAACUGAUUGUACUGAUCACAGAGCCAGUGAGAAGUAGAGCUGGGAAUCUGAAGCCUGCCUGCCUGCCACUGAAGCUGGGGCUUCUCACCACCACCUGGUUCCACCCACAAGUGGAUGCAUGUGUAACUAGUCCAGGAAACAGUAACAACACAGGUGUUACUCAG